AAGCAAACUUCCUCGGUUGGUCGUCUCCGUGUGAGCAAAGCAUCCUGGAGGUGACGGCGAUGAAGGCAGUCUCCGGGAAGACGUGGGUGCAGAAGGCGGUGUUCUUGGAGCCGAAGCCGUUGUUCUCGUCCGCUUUCACGAUGUGAAGCCGGGGCUGCGACUCUAAUUGAGAGGCUCCUGGCGCAGCUCCUCCUCUGAAGUCCCUUAUUGUCCCUUCAGCGUCUUCGGUUUGUUUGGAGGGACUUUUUCCCCAGAGCCGCCUGUUCCCAGCGGGGAUGCCUGGCCCCUUCCCCCCGGGCCGGAUCCACCCCCCGGAUCCCCAAAAGCACCCCCGGGGCUGGGAUGGGUUCCCCCGGCUGCGCUGCUCCCCUCCCUCUUCCCGCAGGAAAGGUCCUGAUCCCUGGGAAGCGGCCCCUGCAAACUCCUUCUGCAGCAGCUCCGUUAGAAUUAAAAUAAAAUCCAAAUUAUAAAAAGAAAAAGGAAAUCAACCCCCGCAAAUGGAGGUGCAAAAGAGAGCUUGUAAAUGAUGCUCAGCAUUGGGGUGGGCUCGGGACUCUGCUGGCUCCUC